UUACGGCUAUAUCACGGUGAAACACCAGUUUCUAUAUGAUCACCAAAGUUAAGCAAUGUCGAGCCUGGUCACUACCUGGUGACCACUUGAGAAUACCAGGUGCUGUAAG